GGUAUAUCAGAUACACCAAGAAAUUCAUCAAGAAUAAUUUGGAGGCGAACCUGUCCCAUUUAUCCUGGAGGAGACUGCGUAGAGGCUCGAUCUGGAGCAUCUCAGGACAAUUCUGAGAUAAUGUUCACAGGUGUGCAAGACAGUGUUUCCCUGAGAGUCUCUGUCAGCCAAGUCAGCUCUUCUGUAAGGGUUUUCCAUGAGGAAGGACACAAUAUUGGGCUGGUUCGUGCAGGCAGCCAGUGACAGUGGAAGUUCUCCUAUUGGAAACAAAGGUACGUCACAUCUGUGAUGGGUCCAGCUGGCACACAGUACUCACUGAGGUCCUGAGCUGCAGACCAUGCAGAAAGACAGGCAGGAGCGGAGAAGGUGGCACAGUGGGUUGGUGAAUCACGUGGGAUCCUGCUAUUUUAACAGAGCUCAGUGAGGCUCAUCAAGCUAUGUUCCCUGCCAUCCUCAUCACCAAGUGAGUAUACUGAACAUAAGGUGUACAUACAGACUUGUAAGUAGUCACUCCAAUCAACCUUAACAUAUUGUGACUGCACUCACAGGCAUAGAGUGGAUAGGAAUGUUGUGUGCCCUCUGAGACCAGACCAAAAUGAACACUAGCAGCAGAUACAGGAGAACCAUCUGCAGGACUGCCUUCAACGUAAGGACCUGUAUAUCACACUCUUCAUAUCUGUCGUGGGACCAGAGGGAUUAUGUCUGUAUUUGGACACACAUUCCAGGCUUCACCUCCUCCAAGGGAGCUUCCUUAAUGUGGCCUUUCGUUUCGAACGAUUUGUUCAAUUUGUUGAAUGUUUUCAGAAGUUUCUGAUGUGCAUGGGCGCCCAGAACAUUCGUCGUCUCUGACAUCCUCUCUGCCUUCACAAAAUCUUUUGUGCCAUUCAAACACACAUACACAUGACAUGCAAUGUUCCCCAUACACCUCAGUUAAUGUACGAAAAGAUUUGGCUGCUGUUUUGUUCAAUUUCACUAAAAAUUUCAAGUUAAUGCGUUGCUCAACUUUUAAGCUAAUAAUUUUCUGACACCGUAGCAAAAACAUGUGCACUUCAAUCACUAGCUAGCAGCGAACUAAAGACGUCACUUAUUAGAAACUUAUAGCAGUUGUGCAUGAAUACCUUUGCACAGAGUCUCAUUCCAAGCAUGCUGUGUUCAAGUCUGCUCUAGCUGGGGCAGGGCUGACCUUCAACCACACAGACCUGGAGCUGCUCAUCGAGGCUGUCAAAACCAAGGACCCGGCAACCCUGACAUCUCUCCCAGACAAGGAUGUUGUCCACUAGCACAUUUCCAGGGAGCAGCUGACACAGAGAAAGAGAGAGUGAAAACAAAUGACGUGUCACCCAGGGGUUGUAGAUGUGUACUGUUACGACCCGCUCACCUGUACGACAAAGACUCUUCACCUGGAAUUCCUUCAGUGGUCCAUCAACUAAACCGAGCUGCCAACCCUUUCACCUCCUCCAUCUUGGUGAGUGUAUUAAAUGUGACAUCAAAGAACAUUUUCUUGGAGUUUUGCUGCAGACAAAGGAGCUCUUCUCUCUUGAUACCCAAGGAUCCCAAAAGUACAGAUUGCCCAAACACUUGUCUAUCCAUGAAACCUUGCUUCUUCUUCCAAUCAAGUCAGAGAAACAAUACAGCAAUAAUGUCAGAGAUGAUGGGGUCUCUGCACAGUCCCUCUAACUGAUGAGUCUGAUGGUGAACGAUUUGUUUAGGCACCAAUCAGUAAAACAGAAAAACAAGUCCACUGAGUACCACAACAACUAAAAGAGCUCUGGUGGUCUCUAGUGGAGAACAGAGCUAACUGCAGAAUUCAAACCUACACUGAGCAUUUGAUCUAUACCAGAUUUUACUAAUGUUAACUCUGUAGACUGUCAGAAGCUUUCAAAACAUAUUUCAUCAAAAAAAUCAUAAUCUGAAUUAUAUUCAACUAAAUGUGUGAGAACAUAAUAAUAAUAAUAAUAAUAAUAUCACUGGAAUGUCUUUAUUUCCUAAAUACUGGAAAACAAAUUAGAUGGUGCUGACUUCUUUAAGUGAGACUAGAAUAGUUUAACACCCAAUAUCACAUCCACUGCUGUGCUACAUAAUAUCUACUGUUGAAAGACUGAUUGUUCUUUUUCUUUCACAUGUUAUCAGGGGAGAGCGCGAACGCAGUCCCCCACUACCAGAAAUUAUGCAGUCGAGAUUCCCACAUUUGGGGAAUUCGCAGGGGUCAGCACAACCGGAGUGCAAUGGCUGAGCCUCGCCCUGGGUGAACCACCUUCUUGAUCAUGGUAUCUCCCCU